rnacentral:rRNA from 1 species
AUGAUGGAGGCGCACAUGGAGCGGGCGCUGCAGGAGGGGGUGACGGAGGCGGAGCGGGCGGCGCUGGAGGGGACGGUGCGGGCGCACCACACCUUCCCGGGGCGGGUGCCGGGGGCCACCUGCACGUCGCUGGUGGCGCAGCGCGUGGCGGCGCCGGUGCGCGCGGUGUGGCCCAUCGUGCGCAGCUUCGGCAACCCGCAGCGGUACAAGCACUUCGUGCGCACCUGCGCGCUCGCGGCCGGCGACGGGGCCAGCGUCGGCAGCGUCCGCGAGGUCACCGUCGUGUCCGGCCUCCCGGCGUCCACCAGCACCGAGCGCCUCGAGAUCCUGGACGACGACCGCCACAUCCUCAGCUUCAGCGUCGUCGGCGGGGAGCACCGCCUCCGCAACUACCGCUCCGUCACCUCCGUCACCGAGUUCCAGCCGGGCCCCUACUGCGUCGUCGUCGAGUCCUACGUCGUCGACGUGCCCGACGGCAACACCGAGGAGGACACCAGGAUGUUCACCGACACCGUCGUCAAGCUCAACCUCCAGAAGCUCGCCUCCGUCGCCGAGGAGACCGCGGCGGCGCCUGGCUCGCGGCGGCGCGACUAG